rnacentral:tRNA from 1 species
GGGGAUUUAGCUCAGUGGUAGAGCGCUUGCCUAGCAAGCGCAAGGCCCUGGCUUUAGUCCCCA